GAAGACGUUUGUACCUUUUUCAAUAGCACAGGUAGAUCCAUGAGGAGCGCUGCAGGGAACGCUCCGGAUCAUAGCUUGACAAACAUUCCUUUAGAGACACGAGAAUUACAAUCAACCUCCCGAGGAAAGAAUUCCGUUAGCUGGGUUUCAGACAAGGCUGCCAGUUACACAGCUGCCUGCCAUCACACUUAAAUCCAUUCUUCUUCAUAAACCCUUUGGCUCUGGGGUACGGGAUGUUGCCAAGAGCUGGGAAUGGGGAAGAAAGCACAUUCUGCUCCUCAUCACCUGCCUGCCCCCCAUCCAACUGUUCAAUGCAUUUGCUGGUAGGAUGUCCAUGUAACACGUGCACAAGUGCUGCUUCUCUGACCUCUGACAUGGGGCUUACAGCCGACACUGACGAGUCAGUUGUCCGGGGUUUGCUCCUAUAAUCCUCACCCAGGCAAGACCCUGGGCUAAGGACAACCCUGCCAGAGCAAGGAAUACCCAUAAUACAGGCUCAGCAAGGAGACCUGCAGAACAUGCAACUGCACUUGUCCCCUGACUGAUAAAAGCUGUUCCCCUUCUACAGACUGAGAACCCUUCAGGUUUUUAUCAGCCAGCCGAUUGAACAGACAAAACAACUUUGCCACUUCCCGAGAUGAAUCCCAUCAACAGCGGCCCAAGAUCCUGACUCGAGGUUCCCUGCUGAGGUCUGAAAACUGACUGUAUUUUGCUAUAUUUGGACAAUAAAUUAUACCGUUUUUUAAACAGUA